AUGCCCCCACCAAACCCUCAGCCUGGCCCUUACGACAAUCCAUUGUAUGGUGCCAGCUCGGGUCUGAUUAAAACUGGGUUAGGAGUAUACGGGGAGAAGUUCCUCGGCUCCAGUUCAGAAUUCAUGCAGAGCAAUAUCAGUAGAUACUUCUCCAACCCACAGUACUACUUCCAUGUGAAUGAUCAGUAUGUCAGGAACAAGUUGAAAGUCAUACUGUUCCCGUUCCUUCACAGGGGGCACUGGACUCGGAUAAGUGAGCCUGUGGGUGGCCGGCUGUCGUACAAACCUCCAAUGUACGACAUAAAUGCGCCAGAUCUGUACAUCCCUUUCAUGGCGUUCGGCACCUUCAUUAUUCUAGCAGGCUUCACACUAGGCUUCAUGGGGAAGUUCACUCCAGAAGCCAUAAACCUUCAGUUCACAAGAGGGCUGAUUGGAUGGGGCCUACAGAUCGUGUUCCUAAAAGGGCUGCUCUACUCGAUGGGCGGAGGCGAGGUGCCGCUGCUCGACCUGGUGGCCUACAGCGGGUACCUGUUCGCGGGGCUCUCCCUGGCCAUCGUCGCCCGGCUCCUAUGGGCCUACUCAUACUAUGUGAUGAUGCCGUGGAUGAGCCUGUGCAUGGGGAUCUUCUUGGUGAGGACGAUGAAGCGGGUCAUCUUCACGGAGAUGCGGGGCAGCGAGAGGCACUCGACGCGGCAGCACUACUUCCUGCUCUUCAUGGCCAUCGUGCAGUUCCCCCUCUUCUUCUGGCUCGGCAGCAUAGGCGCAUGA
rnacentral:rRNA from 1 species